UACGUAGGGGGGCUAGCGUUGUCCGGAAUCAUUGGGCGUAAAGCGCGUGUAGGCGGCCCGGUAAGUCCGCUGUGAAAGUCGGGGGGCUCAACCCUCGGAUGCCGGUGGAUACUGUCGGGCUUGAGUACGGAAGAGGCGAGUGGAAUCCUGGUGUAGCGGUGAAAUUGCGCAGAUAUCAAGGAGGAACACCAAUUGCGAAGGCAGCUCGCUGGGACGUUACUGACGCUGAGACGCGAAAGCGUGGGGAGCAAACAGG
rnacentral:rRNA from 1 species